rnacentral:rRNA from 1 species
GAUMUCGCUAGGGCMGCGGWUGUCCGUCUCUCGCUCUCCCGCAGAGUUUGACGAACUGCGAGCCUGCUGGUGUUAUGGGUUUUCCCACCCGUAUUGCGAGUGGCGCAUUGGACCGUCGCGGAUAGCCAGUCCAUCCAUCUAGGAAGUGCUGGCAUGUCUCCGUGGUCUUAAGUACAGGAUGCGCCGUCGUCCUCCUGUCCCUUUCGAUGCUGCUAGCCUCGUCGGUGAUCUCUCACCGCAGGGCAGGACCCGGCUCGUAUGUUAUCUUUACGUAUGGGCUUUGCGGACCUAGCCUUGCACUGCUCUCUGAAGGUGUGAGAUGGGCCACAUGGCGGUUUUCGAAUUUGGGGCUUGCGGUGCCCGCUGUGUCAUUAGCACCGGCGUAGUAUUCAUUUACCUAAUAUCCGACCUCAGAUCGGGCGAGAUUACCCGCUGAACUUAARCAAAA